CACGUAGGUGGCAAGCGUUACUCGGAAUUACUAGGCGUAAAGGGCAGGUAGGUGGUUUGAUAAGUCUGUUGUGAAAGCUCCCGGCUUAACUGGGAGAGGUCAACAGAAACUAUCAGGCUUGAGUAUGGGAGAGGGUACUGGAAUUCCCGGUGUAGCGGUGAAAUGCGCAGAGAUCGGGAGGAACACCUAUGGCGAAAGCAGGUACCUGGACCAUUACUGACACUCAGCUGCGAAAGCUAGGGGAGCAAACAGG
rnacentral:rRNA from 1 species